rnacentral:rRNA from 14 species
ACUUAUGGCCGUACCACCUUGAGUUUUCUAUUCUUGACUUACCUGAGAAAAUAAGCAGGCCCCUAACUUGAUUAGUAGUUAGAUGGAAAACCAGCUAGGAAUAACAGGUGCUGUAAGCU